CCUACGGGAGGCAGCAGUAGGGAAUCUUCCGCAAUGGACGAAAGUCUGACGGAGCAACGCCGCGUGAACGAUGAAGGCCUUCGGGUCGUAAAGUUCUGUUGUUAGGGAAGAACAAGUGCUAGUUGAAUAAGCUGGCACCUUGACGGUACCUAACCAGAAAGCCACGGCUAACUAUGUGCCAGCAGCCGCGGUAAUACGUAGGUGGCAAGCGUUGUCCGGAAUUAUUGGGCGUAAAGCGCGCGCAGGCGGUUUCUUAAGUCUGAUGUGAAAGCCCCCGGCUCAACCGGGGAGGGUCAUUGGAAACUGGGAAACUUGAGUGCAGAAGAGGAAAGUGGAAUUCCAAGUGUAGCGGUGAAAUGCGUAGAGAUUUGGAGGAACACCAGUGGCGAAGGCGACUUUCUGGUCUGUAACUGACGCUGAGGCGCGAAAGCGUGGGGAGCAAACAGGAUUAGAUACCCUGGUAGUCCACGCUGUAAACGAUGAGUGCUAAGUGUUAGAGGGUUUCCGCCUUUAGUGCUGAAGUUAACGCAUUAAGCACUCCGCCUGGGGAUACGGUCGCAAGACUGAAACUUAAUGAAUUGACGG
rnacentral:rRNA from 1 species